rnacentral:tRNA from 1 species
GCCCUCGUAGCUCAGUGGACAGAGCAGCGGACUUCUAAUCCGCGGGUCGCAGGUUCGAAUCCUGCCGAGGGCGCCA